CAGCCGGACCGGACGGUCGCUCGCGGCGUCUUUCGGGACGAGGCGGGAGGAAAGUCCGAACUCCGCAGAGCGGUGUGCCGGAUAACGUCCGGGAGGGUGCCCCAUCCUUGCCCGCUUUUGGCAAGGGUGGGAGCGGGCCCGACGGAAAGUGCCACAGAAAACAUACCGCCCCGGCAACGGGGUAAGGGUGAAAAGGUGCGGUAAGAGCGCACCGCCGCCGCAGUAAUGCGGCGGGCAGGGCAAACCCCACACGGAGCAAGACCAAAUAGGGAGGGACCGGGUUCGCCCGGAAACGUGCCGGCUCGGCGCGUCACAACCUCCGGGUAGGUCGCUUGAGCCCCGCAGUAAUGCGUGGCCCAGAGGAAUGACCGUCCUGCCGCAAGGCAGACAGAAUUCGGCUUACAGGUUCGGCUGCCAC
rnacentral:RNase_P_RNA from 1 species